GGCACCGUGGCGGAGUGGCUACGCAGAGGACUGCAAAUCCUUGUACCCCGGUUCGAUUCCGGGCGGUGCCUCCA
rnacentral:tRNA from 3 species